CCCUUUCCGGGCUCUGCAGAUGAGCCCUGGCAGCCCUCCCCUGGCCGUCUGGACCCAGGCCUGCCUGUCUUGGUGCAUUUUAGGACAUUAAGUCUGGCUGGAACCUGAGAGCGUCAGCCAUGCGGGGAGUUUCCCUACAGGAACCCUGUGUUGCCUGCCACCAGGGAAGGCGUCCCUUUGCUGUGUCUUCAUCUUCCACUGUGGUUGCGAGGCCUUCCCCAGCCAUGUGAAACCGGACGAGGUCUUGCCACGUUGCCCGCGCUGGUCUCGAACUCCUGGACUCAAGCAAUCCUCCUGCCUCAGCCUCCCAAAGUGCUGGGAUUAAAAUGAUGGGAUUUCACCAUGUUGGCUGGUGUUGAACUCCUGACCUCAAGUGAUCCACCCACCUCGGCCUCCUAAAAUGCUGGGAUUACAGGUGUGAAACACUGUGCUUGGCUGUAAAAUGUUUCUUAUUAGACCUAAAAGGGUGCCUGGCUCUUAGUUGAUUAUCUGCUGGUUCUGGAAAGGAAGGAGAAAAAAAAAGGCAGGGGAAAGAGGAUUCUUUAUAGAAUGUGGAUUUUUCCUGCAAGGGACGGCUUUGCAGGGCCAUUUCAAGAUAUGGCAGAGACACGUGUGCACGUGUCUUUAUAGCAGCAUGAUUUAUAAUCCUUUGGGUAUAUACCCAGCAAUGAGAUGGCUGGGUCAAAUGGUAUUUCUAGUUCUAGAUCCCUGAGGAAUCGCCACACUGGCUUCCACAAUGGUUGAACUAGUUGACAGUCUCACCAACAGUGUAAAAGUGUUCCUAUUUCUCCACAUCCUCUCCAGCACCUGUUGUUUCCUGACUUUUUAAUGAUCGCCAUUCUAACUGGUGAGAGAUGGUAUCUCAUUGUGGUUUUGAUUUGCAUUUCUCUGAUGGCCAGUGAUGAGCAUUUUUUCAUGUGUCUGUUGGCUGCAUAAAUGUCUUGUUUUGAGAAGUGUCUGUUCAUAUCCUUCAUAUGUUUAUUGUGGCACUAUUCACAAUAGCAAAGACUUGGAACCAACCCAAAUGUCCAACAAUGAUAGACUGGAUUAAGAAAAUGUGGCACAUAGACACCAUGGAAUA